rnacentral:rRNA from 1 species
GAUCAUGGCUCAGGAUGAACGCUGGCGGCGUGCUUAACACAUGCAAGUCGAACGGAGUUUUAAACGGAAUUUCGGAUGGAAGUUUAGAACUUAGUGGCGGACGGGUGAGUAACGCGUGGGUAACCUGCCUCAUACAGGGGGAUAACAGUUAGAAAUGACUGCUAACACCGCAUAAUAUAGCGAAACCGCAUGAUUUUUGCUAUCAAAUAUUUAUAGGUAUGAGAUGGGCCCGCGUCUGAUUAGCUAGUUGGUGGGGUAAAAGCCUACCAAGGCGACGAUCAGUAGCCGGCUUGAGAGAGUGACCGGCCACAUUGGGACUGAGACACGGCCCAAACUCCUACGGGAGGCAGCAGUGGGGAAUAUUGGACAAUGGGGGAAACCCUGAUCCAGCCGACGCCGCGUGAGUGAAGAAGUAUUUCGGUAUGUAAAGCUCUAUCAGCAGGGAAGAUAAUGACAGUACCUGACUAAGAAGCCCCGGCUAACUACGUGCCAGCCGCCGC